GACGAACGCUGGCGGCGUGCCUAAUACAUGCAAGUCGAACGGAGUGGCGAACGGGUGAGUAAUGUAUCGGAACGUGCCCAGUAGCGGGGGAUAACUACGCGAAAGCGUAGCUAAUACCGCAUACUUUUGGAGCGGCCGAUAUCGGAUUGGCUAGUUGGGGGGGUAACGGCUCACCAAGGCGACGAUCCGUAGCCGGGUUGAGAGGACGACCAGCCACACUGGGACUGAGACACGGGCCAGACUCCGAAGGGAGGCAGCAGUGGGGAAUUUUGGACAAUGGGGGAAACCCUGAGCCAGCCAUCCCGCGUGUGCGAAGAAGGCCUUCGGGUUGUAAAGCACUUUUGGCAGGGAAGCGGUACCUGCAGAAUAAGCACCGGCUAACUACGUGCCAGCAGCCGCGGUAAUAC
rnacentral:rRNA from 1 species